CGAGGCGGGCCCUCACCUUCCGGCACCAGGCCGUGGUUUUCAUACUGGUCCAGCUGGACGAGGGUGGGGUUCCGGCAGCCGUGGGUUGCGCGGAGCCGGCAGGUGGUCUCUGCCUUCCAGGUGAUCCCAUAAAGUGGAUACUGUUACUAGCCCUAUUUUACAAUCUGCCCAAGAAGGGGUGAGGCCUGGAAGUGAGGCGCGCAGAGAUGGGACGUACAACACCAAGUCUGGAGAGGGCGCCUCCAGAUGCUUCUUUGCAGGGCUUGCUGCCUCUUGAACCAUGAACUUUCUCUCAAAAGCCAUCUGGUUUCUCGUCUCGAAAACAUCCCACGACAGCUCUGAGUGCUACAAACCAGGCUGGGUCAUCUGCUGCUGCUGGCUUCCAGAUAUUGCUCCAAACGUUUCUGCAAGGCUGGUGACGUCCCAAGACACUGAGACUUUAGAUGCCCACUGCCCAAUAUUUGGUAGUGCUCACAAAACAUGUCGAUGGAGAAAAAAGUAUGACUGCAACACGGGGCAGCAAUAGAUCUUCUCAUGCAGCAAAGUUCCUGUCUACCAACAUGAGUUGCAGUCUAAAGCCACAGUGAAUUUUGUGACAGUAACAUUAACAAUCCAAUGGAAUAGAAACAUUCUAGUCUUCCUAUAAACGUACUGAACAUGGAGAACAGAAAUGAUUCUAGGCAUGACUUUGGUUUUUUUAAUUCUUCUUGAGGGAGAUAUAAAGAGCACAGCAUCUUUGAAUUCUUGAGGCACUGUCACAAUACGCCAUGUGUUAUGGAAAAGCUGACACACAAAUAUGGGUCAUUAUUACUCUCCUUCUAAGAACUGCAAGAGAGAGAGUGAGAGAGAGAGAGAGAGAGAAGCUGCAGCAAUCCAGACCAGACGAUAUGCUAACACCAAACAGAAGAAGAAACGAUCAUAUACACACUCACUAUACACUGGACUCCUUACUCUGUACGUACCCUCUGUUCUUUGGUCCAGGUCCCUCAUGAGCUGGAAGUUUCUCUGCAGUUCAAAUGGGAGGUUUUCAAUACCUGGGGAGAAGAGGAGAAAUUGAGCCUCCCUGGACGUCCUAGGCCCUACCGCUGCUUUUAAAGAACAGGUCCAAAACAACACUCGGUUUUCCCUCCUUCAAACCGCUGGAUUAUGUUACAGCACUCAUCGUUCUGCUCUCAGGAGAGGUCACGUCCGCCUCUUUCCACAACUAACCCCUCCAUCUCUACACAGCUUUCCCACCCUUCCUCCCUUCAGUGACUUUACAAAUCAGCCUUUCCCUUUCCUUUCUUUCAAUCUCUGUCUCCAAGCUCCUUGCCCUCAACUUACAAAUACCCUCCUGGCAUCCUCCACCACUCAUCACACACACACUUCCAACCUGCUCUCCAUACAGUAGCCAGAAUUGUUCUUUAAAAAAUGCAGAUCUGGGCUUCCCUGGUGGCGCAGUGGUUGGGGGUCCGCCUGCCGAUGCAGGGGACACGGGUUCGUGCCCCGGUCCGGGAAGAUCCCACAUGCCGCGGAGCGGCUGGGCCCAUGAGCCAUGGCCGCUGAGCCUGCGCGUCCGGAGCCUGUGCUCCGCAACGGGAGAGGCCACAACGGUGAGAGGCCCGCGUACCGCAAAAAAAAAAAAAAAAAAAAAAAAAAAGCAGAUCUGCUCAAGUCACUGUCCUGUUUAUAACCCUCGAGUAACCUCCUACUGCAAUAUUCCUAUUGCUAUUCUGCACUUUCUGGCCCUUGCUUCCCUCACACCAGCCCUAACUCACAUCAGUCCCUGUCUGUGCUCUCUCUCUGCUGUAUCAUACUGGCCUCCACUGAGUGCCUUGAACUUGCCAGUGCUCUUCAUGACACUUGGCUUUUCACACGCUACUCUCUCUGCCCAGAAUGCCCUGCCCAGUCUUCUUCAUCCCACCUCCACCAUACCUCUUGGCCUUCAAAUUCCUGUUCAUUCUUCAAAGUUCAGCUCAACCCUGACUGCCCCAAACUCCAACAAGUGCCCUGGAUUAUGCUGUCAUGCUAUUUUUUUUUUUAAAUACGUAUUUCGCUGCGUGGGGUCUUAGUUGCAGUACACGGGAUCUUUGUUGCUGCGUGCGGGACCUUUUAGUUGUGGCAUGUGGGAUCUUGUAUUUGCAGCGUGUGGGAUCUAGCUCCCUCCCUGACCACGGAUCGAACCCAGGCCCCCUGCAUUGGGAGUGCGGAGUCUUAACCACUGGACCACCAGGGAAGUCCCUAUCGUGGUAUUCUGUGUCUACCCUUUUGGGCUCUUAUCCAAUGUACUUACAUAAGUAAUUGUGUAAUUAGUUAUUUGGUAUGUCUCCCCAGCUCUCCAGAAGGGUUAGAUGCAUCUGUCUUCUUCCCUAUGUCUCUAGAGUUUAGAACUAUGAUGUGCAUACAGAGGAUCCUCAAUAAAUACUUGAAUAAGUGCAUGAA